rnacentral:lncRNA from 1 species
UUAAAUUAAACAAUACAUAGUUGUGGAAUGUAUGAGUGUCGUACUAUAUUUUUUCUCAAAAAUAAUAAAAUAUGAAGGACCCUAAAAUAUAGCCCUGCAUGGCUGAAGAUGGAAAAAUUUAGCACUGCAUUAUUCUUUAAAAAAUUAAUAUUUUGGGGGGCUAAAUUUUUAGCCCUAGACUCCAUUUUGCCCUAUAACUGGAGAUGGCCCUAUGAUCUAAAUCGGAACUUGGAGUCCAAAUCAGUAAAGGCUGGAUAACAAGAUAUGUCUCUUGAUUAGUGAUUUGGGCUAUUGUGUAUGUCUGCAACUAGUUUCAUCUUGUUAUUUUCCUUUGUAAUAAAUUCAAAUGUCAAUUCAAUUCAUGUUCUUAUUGCACUAGAUAAACUGUGAAGUCCAAGGCAUAAAAAUGAACCAAUAUCGAGCCAGUUCUCCAUUCAUAACACAAUAGUUUGAUUUUUUUAUAUAUUCAGAUUACGUACGUAAGGCGCAAGUUAUUUAAUCUCUCAAUCUAUUUGAAUCUUUUCAAUGCUAAUAGUGC